GCCCGGAUAGCUCUAGUCGGUAGAGCAGAGGAUUGAAAAUCCUCGUGUCGGUGGUUCGAUUCCGCCUCCGGGCACCA
rnacentral:tRNA from 1 species